rnacentral:rRNA from 1 species
GGUCUGAGAGGACGACCAGCCACACUGGAACUGAGACACGGUCCAGACUCCUACGGGAGGCAGCAGUGGGGAAUUUUGGACAAUGGGCGAAAGCCUGAUCCAGCAAUGCCGCGUGAGUGAAGAAGGCCUUCGGGUUGUAAAGCUCUUUUGUCAGGGAAGAAACGGUGAGAGCUAAUAUCUCUUGCUAAUGACGGUACCUGAAGAAUAAGCACCGGCUAACUACGUGCCAGCAGCCGCGGUAAUACGUAGGGUGCAAGCGUUAAUCGGAAUUACUGGGCGUAAAGCGUGCGCAGGCGGUUUUGUAAGUCUGAUGUGAAAUCCCCGGGCUCAACCUGGGAAUUGCAUUGGAGACUG